rnacentral:rRNA from 1 species
UGAGGAAUGUUGGACAAUGGGCGCAAGCCUGAUCCAGCCAUGCCGCGUGCAGGAAGAAGCAUCUAUGGUGUGUAAACUGCUCUUGUACGGGACGAAACGCUCCUUCGUGAAGGUGCUUGACGGUACCGUAAGAAUAAGGAUCGGCUAACUCCGUGCCAGCAGCCGCGGUAAUACGGAGGAUCCAAGCGUUAUCCGGAAUCAUUGGGUUUAAAGGGUCCGUAGGCGGUUUAGUAAGUCAGUGGUGAAAGCCCAUCGCUCAACGAUGGAACGGCCAUUGAUACUGCUAGACUUGAAUUACAAAGAAGUAACUAGAAUUUGUAGUGUAGCGGUGAAAUGCUUAGAUAUUACAUGGAAUACCAGUUGCGAAGGCAGGUUACUAGUUGUGGAUUGACGCUGAUGGACGAAAGCGUGGGGAGCAAACA